UUUAGCAUGUUCCCUUCUUUCAAAAGCUGUUGAAGUGGGUGACUUGUCAUUGAGGAAUCCCAUAAAAACAGUGAUGGUCAAAUUAAAUAUGUGAAGCACAAAUUCUUUAUAAUCCAUCUUGAAGAAAGUUUUGCCAUAGUUUUUAAAAUGUUCACCCAAAAUCAACAUUGUGUUUGCUGUCAUGAUUUCUGAAUACUUGUCAAUAAUCUGAUGGAUUCAGUACCGGCAAAGUAAAAUUUUUGCAGGAUUGCAGACAUUAAUCAAUGCACAUGAAUUGUGAGAGUUUAAUGUUAAACAAAGAUUUCAUAAAACAGAAAAACAUCAAAGAGUUCAGCCAUUUUUUCCAAUCAACACCUGGAGAACACUGUUACGUCUUUAUUAUACUUAAAAUCAGAAAAAAACAACAAGGGUGAAUAAAAUGCAAGACACGGCUGUAGUAUGUUCUGUAUGAUCCAGACAAGAUGUUCCAACUUGCUUCGGAGAAGUUGACCCAUGCUUUUAAAACCUAUUAAAAGAAAUCAUAUGUCAUUGUUAAAACCAACACAUCAACACAGUUCAUGUUCAUUUUGAGGUAAAUAAAUAUAUAAAAAUGUUGUUUUAACUAUGCCAUUAACUAUAUGUUCAAGAGAUUACACUUGAUUUUCCACUUGUCUGAAUUGUUAAAUUAUACAAUAAAUUAUACUUUAUGUACGUUUAUUAUUUUUUAAUUCUUAAACAUAUCUUCAAACACCAUCUGUAUAAUUUCUAUUGUUGCUCAAGGAAAACCUAUAGCAUUAGAAGACAUCAUGUAAGUGAUAUUUGCUGGCACAUUUGUGGUUGGCUCUUGAAUACUUGUCUGUUCGCACACAAAGAAAAAAAAACAUCGAACUUUUUAGACGGUGCCUAACGAAUAUACAGCACUACGUUGGACAUUCAGCGGACAUUCGCUUCUAAAUAUGCCAUAAAAACAAUAUUUGGACAUUUUGAUCGAUUUUGAAACCAUUCUGUUUGGUUCACAAUGAUGUCGCUGAUCAGAAUAUGCCAAGAAAAACUUUCUUGCACAUAUAAUUUGAAAGUUAUUGAACGCGGAAAUGUGGGAAAAGUGGCGAAUGUGCGAAUAUAAAACCAACUUUACCCAAGUGUUCGCUGCAUUUUCAGUCAGGACAACCAGCAUUAGAAAUGCUGGAUACUCAUCCUGACUGGGCACCAUCUUUGCUUCUGGGCCACAAUGAAGUGAAAGGGAUGAACAAAGAGAGGUUUGCACGUCAGUUAAGAAAAUACCUCAAACAUCAGGUAAUUCGCAAGAGGCCAGGAGAGGAGAAAGAACAAGAAGAAAGUUGUCACAGUCUGCUGUGCUCUUACAAACAUGUGUCCAAGUGUUGUGCAGUGAUUGCUAAAUCAACUGGUUUGUAAAAACGUUUGUUAAAAGUUGUACAAAGCAAGAGGUGUUGUGUAUUGUAUAUUCCUUGAUGAUUUGUAGGAUAGCUGAUGAAUGAUGUUGAAUUUGUGGUUUAUGUUAGCAGAUGAUAAAGACAGGCCACAUUGCAUGAA